UACGGGGGGGGCAAGCGUUGUUCGGAAUUACUGGGCGUAAAGGGUGCCUAGGCGGUUCGCUAAGUUGGAUGUGAAAACUCUGGGCUUAACCCAGAGCCUGCAUCCAAAACUGGCAGGCUAGAGUUCUGGAGGGGAUAGCGGAAUUCCUGGUGUAGCGGUGAAAUGCGUAGAUAUCAGGAGGAACACCGGUGGCGAAGGCGGCUAUCUGGACAGAAACUGACGCUGAAGCACGAAAGCUAGGGGAGCAAACAGG
rnacentral:rRNA from 1 species